ACUUACCCUACUCUUACUAAAAUUCAAAAAGUAGAUUGGAACAAUCGAGGCAUCUCUACGACUCAUGCCAUUUUCGUUUCUACUUUGUCAUUGUACUUCGUUUUCUGGUCAGACCCCUUUUCCGACCCACGGCUUUCGGGUCUUAUCGUCUUCAGAAGCUCAACACUCUCUACUUUUGGGCUAGGGGUUUCUCUUGGAUACUUCUCUUCGGAUCUUUCUACGACUUUAUGGCAAUAUCCCGCUUUAGGUGGAAUAGACUGUGGAAUAUGUUAUCCAUCACAUCCUUACUGGAAUCGCAGUGGCAUAUUCGAUGUUUACCGGAGAAGCUCAGCUGUAUACAUACAUGGUUCUUAUAUCCGAGGUGACAACCCCAGAGAUCCAUUUGAGAUGGUACCUUGAUACAGCUGGUAUGAAGCAGUCCACUGCUUAUCUCAUUAAUGGUAUCGUCAUCUUUAUUUU